CCUACGGGAGGCAGCAGUGAGGAAUAUUCCACAAUGGGCGCAAGCCUGAUGGAGCGACGCCGCGUGGACGACGAAGGCCUUCGGGUCGUAAAGCUCUGUCAGAGGGGAAGAAAUGCAGGUGGUGAACAACCAUUCUGUUUGACGGUACCCUCAAAGGAAGCACCGGCUAACUCCGUGCCAGCAGCCGCGGUAAUACGGAGGGUGCGAGCGUUGUUCGGAAUUAUUGGGCGUAAAGCGCGUGUAGGCGGUUUGUUAAGUCUGAUGUAAAAGCCCCGGGCUCAACCGGGGAAGUGCAUUGGAUACUGGCAGACUUGAGUACGGGAGAGGAGAGUGAAAUUCCCAGUGUAGGAGUGAAAUCCGUAGAUAUUGGGAGGACCACCGGUGGCGAGGGCGGCUCUCUGGACCGAUACUGACGCUGAGACGCGAAAGCGUGGGGAGCAAACAGGAUUAGAUCCCCUUGUAGU
rnacentral:rRNA from 1 species